rnacentral:lncRNA from 1 species
GAGGGGCUGUGGAAGAUGCCUGCUUUUGGGAUUACGCGUGGAGAAAGGCCAUCGGUCAAGGGGAGAGCUGGCUGGUGAAACUGUCUGACUUUCUCCCCCUCUGGGGAAGUGGCUUCAAUGGCUCCAGCUCUCAGGAGAAGCAGUAGGAAAGAUGCCAACGCCUUGCCAAGCAUGUCCUCAACUUUCUGGGCUAUCAUGAUCCUGGCCAGUCUACUAAUCGCUUACUGCAAGUUGAUGGAAAAGAAGAUGCACAACCAGCUGUGAUUCGUCUUGUUAUGUGGGGACAGAUAUCUUAUGACAGAACAGUUUUUUUGAGGUGUCCCUAUGGUGGACUCUGAUCGAAGAAGUCUAAUGUCAACUAAAUGGCUGUUAGACUGCUGAAGCAGGUGCAGUUAAGUCACAGCUAAAUAUUCUGCUGAAGAAAAUAAUAAUAAUAAUAAAAAAAACAUGGCAAAG